rnacentral:rRNA from 1 species
AGGGGUUUGGAUCCUGGGCUCAGAACGAACGCUGGCGGCGUGCUUAAGACAUGCAAGUCGAACGGUAAGGCUUGUCACUCUUCGGAGUGACUCGCACACGAGUGGCGCACGGGUGAGUAACGCGUGGGUAAUCUGCCCUCAGGUUUGGGACAACUCCGGGAAACUGGAGCUAAUACCGAAUAAGACCACGAGAUCCCCGGAUCUUGCGGAAAAAGGUGGCCUCUUCUUGAAAGCCAUCGCCUGUUGAUGAGCCCGCGUCCCAUUAGCUUGUUGGUGAGGUAACAGCUCACCAAGGCAUCGAUGGGUAGCUGGUCUGAGAGGAUGAUCAGCCACACUGGAACUGAGACACGGUCCAGACUCCUACGGGAGGCAGCAGUCGGGAAUCUUGCACAAUGGGCGAAAGCCUGAUGCAGCAACGCCGCGUGAGGGAUGAAGGCCCUCGGGUCGUAAACCUCUGUCGGAAGGGAAGAAAAUAUUCCGGGCCAAUACCCCGGAGUAUCGACGGUACCUUCAAAGGAAGCGCCGGCUAACUCCGUGCCAGCAGCCGCGGUAAUACGGAGGGCGCGAGCGUUAUUCGGAAUUAUUGGGCGUAAAGCGCGUGUAGGCGGCUGGGAAAGUCGGAUGUGAAAGCCCGGGGCUCAACCCCGGAAUUGCAUACGAAACUUCCCAGCUAGAGUCUCGGAGAGGAGGGCGGAAUUCCCGGUGUAGAGGUGAAAUUCGUAGAUAUCGGGAGGAAC